CUGGCUCUGGUGGGGCUUGGUCUUCACGAGGUGGUCGCGAGGUGAAGGAGGAAGGACAGCGGGAAAUUUGACGGCAGACGCACUAAAGGGUUUAAGGGAAUUGUUUUUUGACUUUGGCUACGGAUUUAGAUCACAGUGUUUGGCGGUUGGCAUAAACUGGUAUGUGACUGGCUGGAAUGGCAUCUCAGGUGGAUGAGGAUGAUGAUAUGGAUUUUGGUGAAUGGACCCCGGUUGCUGGCGGGGGAAGAUCAGGAUGAGGGAGAAGCAGGAGAGAGGAAGCAAGUUUGUUUGGGACACAGACUAGUAAACGGAGCUUGGAGAAGAACAGUUCGGAAGAGGGGUCCAGGGUUGUCCGGAGGAAAACGUGUCUAAAGAAGAAAAUCAACCACACCAAAGUCAUUCCUCGUAUCCGUCCCCACUGGAUUAUCAUCUGUGUUUACCUGGUUGCUCUACAACUCUUAAUGAUGGGACUAAAUCACUAUACAAGAGAUAUAGCAGCUAAAGAUGAACUUAAGACUAUAGUGGUUUACUCAACCAUGAGCACUGAUCAGAACCUGACUCAUAUCAAAGGCAGUUUCAGACCUCCAGUGUUUCAGUCCUUUAAAACCAAAUGGAAUUAAUUUUGUCACAGAGAGAGACUCUGAAUGUCAAAGGUCAAAGUGAAGCCAACUGAAAAUCAAGUAACCUGUGUGUUUUUAUCACUGAGUGUAUAAACACCCAACUACAGAAUAAAGCUGG
ensembl:lncRNA